UUAUCACUGACACUAUCCUUGACAGGAAAAUUGACAUUCUCUGUCUCAGUGAAACUUGGCAUAAAGACAAUGACUAUCUUAAUUUGAACAUGUGUGCCCCAUCUGGAUAUAAAUAUAUUGACGUGCCUCGAGCUUCUGGUAAGGGUGGUGGCUUGGCUGCAAUAUUUGUAUCAAAUAUAUCACUUGAUGUUACUGAUGCUCCUACUGUUUCAUCAUUUGAAUGUUUGGUUUUUAAAGUCAAUGGUGCUUCACCUGUUCUUGUGCUGCUCAUUUAUCGUCCACCAAAACCUAAUCCUUUAUUUUUUUCUGAGUUUACUGAGUUGCUGACACUUCUUAGUCCACUCUGUCCGUCUAUGGUCUUGACUGGUGAUGUCAAUUUCCAUAUUGAUAAUCCAAACUGUGUCAAAACUGCUACCUUUUUGGACAUUUUGGAUGGUUUUGACUUUAAACAGCAUGUUACUUUUCCGACCCAUAGGCUGGGCCAUAUAUUGGAUGUGGUAUGUUCUGCUGGUGUUGGUAUCCAAUCUCUGGAUAGUAUCGACAUGAGUAUAAGUGACCAUAGACUUAUUACUUUUGACAUAAAUGUUAUGUCUUCACGAUCCAUUUCUGAGCGCACUAUCAAAUUUCGUAACAUCAAGCACAUGGACUUCACUCUUUUUUCGACUUUUGUCUCUGGGCUUCCCACUACUAACUCCGUGGAGCACUAUAAUUCCAUGCUUUCCUCACUUUUGGAUGAGUUCGCACCUGUGCGAGAACGGCUUGUUACUUUUAGGAAACCCUGUCCAUGGUUUACCCCGGAUUUACGUUUAAUGAAAGCCGCCGGAAGACAAUUAGAACGGCAGUACAAAAAAUCUGGCCUGACAGUGCACAGGCUUCUUUACACUGAACAACAGUCUGCUUACCAUUCUGCUUUGAAUACUGCACGUAAGAGCUACUAUUCAAGCAUCAUUGGUAACGCUGCAACAAAUUCUAAAUCGCUGUUUAAGACUGUUGACAAUCUUCUCAAACCAACUAAGGCCGUUGUUCAUUCCUCUGUUGACCAGUGUAAUAAGUUUCUUCAUUAUUUCACCGGUAAGGUUGAGGGUAUAUAUAGCACUUUAAAU
rnacentral:lncRNA from 1 species